rnacentral:rRNA from 1 species
AGCUAAUACCGCAUAACGUCGCAAGACCAAAGAGGGGGACCUUCGGGCCUCUUGCCAUCGGAUGUGCCCAGAUGGGAUUAGCUAGUAGGUGGGGUAACGGCUCACCUAGGCGACGAUCCCUAGCUGGUCUGAGAGGAUGACCAGCCACACUGGAACUGAGACACGGUCCAGACUCCUACGGGAGGCAGCAGUGGGGAAUAUUGCACAAUGGGCGCAAGCCUGAUGCAGCCAUGCCGCGUGUAUGAAGAAGGCCUUCGGGUUGUAAAGUACUUUCAGCGGGGAGGAAGGGAGUAAAGUUAAUACCUUUGCUCAUUGACGUUACCCGCAGAAGAAGCACCGGCUAACUCCGUGCCAGCAGCCGCGGUAAUACGGAGGGUGCAAGCGUUAAUCGGAAUUACUGGGCGUAAAGCGCACGCAGGCGGUUUGUUAAGUCAGAUGUGAAAUCCCCGGGCUCAACCUGGGAACUGCAUCUGAUACUGGCAAGCUUGAGUCUCGUAGAGGGGGGUAGAAUUCCAGGUGUAGCGGUGAAAUGCGUAGAGAUCUGGAGGAAUACCGGUGGCGAAGGC